rnacentral:lncRNA from 1 species
AUGGUUGCGGUGGGAACAAAGCAACCUCGUGCUGAAGACACCGACUCUGUCCGCUUCUGGGUGUGUGUGCGCGUGCGGGCAAAUCCUGGCUUUCAGCAUUGGAAAUCGACUGGAUGGUCGCUGAACUUGGGUCAAAUCUCUCCAUGGCUUGAGUCCUCAGGACAGAAUGAUAGAGAAGCCCCAGGAUUUGAUGCCAUGUCUGCCCCAAGAAUGGAUGCGGCCGUGGUGCACCUGAUUCGAUGCGCUUGUCCGGUGGGUACUAUUAACGCCCCUGCCUCUGUGGCAGCUGCUCCUGCGACGCCACCUUCAUUCGAAAGUAGCUCAGGUGGGGCGCCUCACGUGUGUUCGGGGAAUCGCCGUCAGUUUUCAGGAAGGUGCUCGUUGCCAGCAGCUUCUGUCACGGGCCGGCCCCAAAGCCUUCGCAUCAUCGACCCCUGCUCCUUACCUCUUGCUCGCCUGGCCGCUCCAGAGCCUGCCUCGCUGGUGGGAAGAAUAUUGAAGACGUCCCUGUCCCCGCCACCCCCGGCUGAAUCUAGAAGGCAGAAGAGGCUGGCAGUGAGCGAGGAGGCUCACGUGGCCAUGGCAUUGCGUGUGCCCCUAAUUGAGGGCAUGCGUCGGGCACAGAAUUGGCUCGGGGCCGGGCCUCCCGUCCACCCUCAGCUACGUGGCUUGGCCAGAGUUGGCUGUGGGGCUUCUGGGAAGAGUUGA